CACAUGCAAGUCGAGCGCGAAAACACUUCGGUGUGAGUAAAGCGGCGGACGGGUGAGUAACGCGUAGGAAUCUACCUAGUAGUGGGGGACAACUCGGGGAAACUCGAGCUAAUACCGCAUACGCCCUACGGGGGAAAGCGGGGGACCUUCGGGCCUCGUGCUAUUAGAUGAGCCUGCGUUGGAUUAGCUAGUUGGUGGGGUAAAGGCCUACCAAGGCGACGAUCCAUAGCUGGUCUGAGAGGAUGAUCAGCCACACCGGGACUGAGACACGGCCCGGACUCCUACGGGAGGCAGCAGUGGGGAAUAUUGCGCAAUGGGCGAAAGCCUGACGCAGCCAUGCCGCGUGUGUGAAGAAGGCCUUCGGGUUGUAAAGCACUUUCAAUUGGGAGGAAAGGUUCACGACUAAUACUCGUGAGCUGUGACGUUACCUUUAGAAGAAGCACCGGCUAACUCCGUGCCAGCAGCCGCGGUAAUACGGAGGGUGCGAGCGUUAAUCGGAAUUACUGGGCGUAAAGCGCACGUAGGCGGACUUUUAAGUCAGAUGUGAAAUCCCGAGGCUCAACCUCGGAACUGCAUUUGAAACUGGGAGUCUAGAGAUCAGGAGAGGUUAGCGGAAUACCGAGUGUAGAGGUGAAAUUCGUAGAUAUUCGGUGGAACACCAGUGGCGAAGGCGGCUAACUGGACUGAUACUGACGCUGAGGUGCGAAAGUGUGGGGAGCAAACAGGAUUAGAUACCCUGGUAGUCCACACCGUAAACGAUGAGUGCUAGUUGUCUGCGGGCAUGCCUGUAGGUGACGCAGCUAACGCAUUAAGCACUCCGCCUGGGGAGUACGGCCGCAAGGUUAAAACUCAAAGAAAUUGACGGGGCCCGCACAGCGUGAGCAUGUGUUUAUUCGAAGCACGCGCAGACUUACUACGCUGACAUGCCCGACGAUUCAGAGAUGAUCUCUCCUUCGGGCGUGCACAGGUGCUGCAG
rnacentral:rRNA from 1 species